CGCCAGACUCCUACGGGAGGCAGCAGUGGGGGAUAUUGCACAAUGGGGGAAACCCUGAUGCAGCGACGCCGCGUGGGUGAAGAAGCGCCUCGGCGCGUAAAGCCCUAUCGGCAGGGAAGAAGGAGGACGGUACCUGACUAAGAAGCCCCGGCUAACUACGUGCCAGCAGCCGCGGUAAUACGUAGGGGGCAAGCGUUAUCCGGAUUUACUGGGUGUAAAGGGGGCGCAGACGGCAGCGCAAGCCAGGAGUGAAAGCCCGGGGCCCAGCCCCGGGACUGCUCUUGGAACUGCGCGGCUGGAGUGCAGGAGGGGCAGGCGGAAUUCCUGGUGUAGCGGUGAAAUGCGUAGAUAUCAGGAGGAACACCGGUGGCGAAGGCGGCCUGCUGGACUGCAACUGACGUUGAGGCCCGAAAGCGUGGGGAGCAAACAGGAUUAGAUACCCCAGUAU
rnacentral:rRNA from 1 species